CCUUUGGGAGUUAAGUCAUGAGGGUGUAGCCCUCAUGAAUGGGAUUAGUACUCUUAGAGAAAAGGGACCCCAGAGAGGUCUCUUUCCACCAUGUAAGGAUAAAAGUACAAGGAGAAGAUGGUAGUCUGCAAACUGGAAAAGGGCCCUCCUCAGAACCUGACCAUCUUGGCACCUUGAUCUCAGACUUCCAUCUUCCAGAACUGUGGGAAAUAAAUUUCUUUUAUAAACACUCAGUCAAUGCUACUUUAUUAUAGCAGCCUGAAUGGAUUAAGACAGGUGGUCUGGUUUAAAGUGAUGUGUUGGCAUCAGAAGUUUAAGGAAAGACUGGAUUCACAGAACCAGAAUCUGGGAUGCUGUUUACAGAGCAAGUAUUUCCUGCAUUUGGACACUGUCGGCAGGUCGAUUCAGGAGACAGACGAAAACUUUAUCACCGGGCAGCCUGGAUGAACACCACAACUUUGAGAUCUUUCACUUAAAGGAAAGAUAAGGGCAUCCACUAUUUCUACACCUGCCUGGCAGAGUGAGAACUCACCAAGGAGAUGGUGACAAAAGAAGAGUAAAUGAACAAUGUCAGAAUCAAAAGAUACUCUGCCUGCACUUACAAAUUCAUAGACUAUUACUACUGAAGACAAGUUAAGAGAUUGUGUCCUCCAAACUCAUCAUUUUUCAGCAUUAUUAUUUUAGAAGAGAGGUCUAGAUCAACCGCUUUAAAAUGACACCAACAGAAGGGCAGUGAAGAAGGCAUUCUCGGAGGCUGCACAUUUCUGGAAGACAGCAUGACAGUAUGCCUCAAGUGCAAACAGUUUAUCCAUCUAUACAUAAUGAAACUAAAGAAGAUAAAGCUGUUUGUUCCUUGGGACAGUCUAAGAAUAAAUAAAAGACAAAAAAUUUUUCAAAAGGAAGAAA